GAAGGCAGGGGUAGCAAGGCGGAGCUGUGCCCUGUCACGGCACACAGAGAAUGCCCAUGGAUUUUCACAAAUGCUGUUAAAAUGUGAAAAGAAGGUGUUUCUUUUUUCUUCAAUCUGAGCUUCAAGCUAAUAUGGGCAUUCAGCUAAAUCCCUCCUGGGUCCUGAAACAGUAUGUGGUUUUGGAUUUCAAAGAUAAUCCCUACAACUUCUGGGAGAGGUGCAAGUAUCAACCAGUUGGAGACACAGGGAAAGGGUGAUAUAAUGCAGAAAGUGACUUGAACAAAUUUACACAGAAGGCAGUGAAGUGUGAUUCAAAUUCAAGCAGUCUAGACUGUGCCCCACACAACUCUGCAGCAUAACCUUGCAGUAUGAAAAUAAUGCCUCUCAUGCAGCCAAAUGAAAAUGGCCCCAUCAAAGUGCAAGUGCUCACUAAAUAUUCGUUAAAUGAAAGAAUUAAAUAGAAAAAGCUACCAUUUAAAAACAUUAUCACAAUGCUAAAAAUAUGUUGAUUUAUAAGAUCUCAUUAAGUUCAUGCAAUUAAAGCAACCAUUAUCCUCAUUUUACAGAUCAGGGAUAUGAGAUCCAGUGACUUACCCAAAGUUUCAAAGGAAAGAUGUAACAGAGCCAUCUCUGAACUUCUGCUCUUGGGAAUCUACACACUCUUUCCACUAGUUCUGACCUUAGCAG
ensembl:lncRNA LINC01440 long intergenic non-protein coding RNA 1440